rnacentral:rRNA from 1 species
UGGGGAAUUUUGGACAAUGGGGGAAACCCUGAUCCAGCCAUCCCGCGUGUGCGAUGAAGGCCUUCGGGUUGUAAAGCACUUUUGGCAGGAAAGAAACGUCGCGGGUUAAUACCCCGCGAAACUGACGGUACCUGCAGAAUAAGCACCGGCUAACUACGUGCCAGCAGCCGCGGUAAUACGUAGGGUGCAAGCGUUAAUCGGAAUUACUGGGCGUAAAGCGUGCGCAGGCGGUUCGGAAAGAAAGAUGUGAAAUCCCAGAGCUUAACUUUGGAACUGCAUUUUUAACUACCGGGCUAGAGUGUGUCAGAGGGAGGUGGAAUUCCGCGUGUAGCAGUGAAAUGCGUAGAUAUGCGGAGGAACACCGAUGGCGAAGGCAGCCUCCUGGGAUAACACUGACGCUCAUGCACGAAAGCGUGGGGAGCAAACAGGAUUAGAUACCCUGGUAGUCCACGCCCUAAACGAUGUCAACUAGCUGUUGGGGGCCUUCGGGCCUUGGUAGCGCAGCUAACGCGUGAAGUUGACCGCCUGGGGAGUACGGUCGCAAGAUUAAAACUCAAA